UGCUUCUUAAAGUUCCAAAAUCUGCCUUAAUCACAACUGACUCUCUUCUUUCAAGAGAUGAAACUUUGUCUCUUGCACUCAAAGCCCAUCUUUCUCACUCUUCUACCCAGGUGGAUUAUGCCAUCUGGGCUGCUCAAAAAGCUGUCACAAAAGCUAAAUACGAAUGGGAACAAGCCUUCACUCUCAUGAAGGAACUUAAGCUUAAGCCUCCACUUCUCACUUUCAGGGCUUGGAUUUGGGCUCCUGGGACUGUAAGUUCACAGUGUUUAUGCUUCUCUGGGUUUUUCUUUUUUGGUUUUUAUUUAUGUUGGACAACUUCAACUUAGACUGUUAUGCACAUUUCACACGCAUGCGUAUGGAUAAAUGUCUGGAUAAACAAGCAUACAUGGGUUCCUAAUUUAUCUUCUCGUGUCUCUACUUAACAUUUUUCUACAUAUCAUUGCUUUGAAAAAGGUUCAGAUUAUUGCUCAGGACAAAAUACCGCAGACUUCCAGAAAUAUAUGUUAUUUAUGCAAACAUUUCUUAGUAAGAUGAGAUCAAAAUUUUGGAGUGUCAAACAAAUAAUACUAUUUGAAAAGUUCAGAAUUGGAACAGACUGCUGCUUUAACGUAUCUGUAUGGAUGGUUACGACAUCACCCAAAGAAAAGUCUUAUCAGUACAUUCUUCUCUAAUAAUUAUAUAUAUACAUAUUUGUUUCUAUAACUAUUUGAUCAAAUUAAGCGAUGGAUAACAGCUGCAGCUUCAUAUCAUGCAACAAGCUAGAUCAUAUGGCUACCUUUUUUUUUCUGUUGUAUAUAUGUGAAGUAUGUUUCUAGGUUAAUUGCGAAUCAAUUCGUGUACACUUUGGCUUAUGAUUUGGUGUCAAUUGUUUUUUUUUUAAUGGUGAUUUCAAUGGAAUUUAUGAAUUUCAUUCUCAUUUUUGGCUUUCUUUUUGUUUGGAUAAUUCAAGGAUGACACAACUUGACGAUUUUCAACUCAUUUGCAGAUGCAUCGUAAUAUUCUGAUUUCAUUGGAGUUAUGAUAUUUAACUUUAGGAACAAAUUCAUGAAUAUCGACUGCGAUAAAGUGAAUUAAUUUUUACUGUUGUUUUUCUUUAACUAAAGAAUACUGCUUAUUUUAUUUUAUUUUUUAGAAAAACAAAUGCUAUUUUUAACUGAAUUAUUGAAUGCAUGAUGCCGUUGACUAGUACAGUUACAUUUAUGUUCAGCGUUAAUGAAUUGCAUUCUUGAUGUGUCCCUUUGGCAUAUGUAUAUAUAUAAUUAUGCAUAUGUAAAUACACUAGGGUAUAAUUCUUUGUUUUUUUGGUUAGUUUUUUUCUUUUGGAACAAUGACUUGAUAUUGCAAUCUUGGUUUGAGUGUAAGCUGCUUCCUCUAAUGUUACUGUGGGAUAGUUUGCUUAUGUUGUGAAUGCUGUGAUUACAAGAGUGUCUUUUUGUAUAUGAUUUCCAUGACUGCAGUGAUUAUAUUUGGGACUUAGAGUUUUACAUAUGGUGAUAGGAUAUAAUUUUCCUCAAGAAUACUAGAAGCUUAUCCCUAACAUUACAUUUUGGAAAUGUUAUUGUUAUAUUCUGGUGUUAAUCAAAGUCUUUUCUGCCAUACAAGUGAUAACCCAACAUGUCAAUCUUCUGUGUGCCAAACUCAUAUGGGUUGCAUCAUAUUUUCCUCUAUUUAUCUUCUUUCUUAUCUUUCAAUGGUAAAGUGAUACAUUGGUGUGUUAUACAGCUCUCUUAUAGGGUUGAAUUAUUUACUUGCUCCAUCUUUGUAACCUUAUGCUGCUAAAAAGAUGCUCCAAAUAACAUGUUGCACCUAGUUGGACCUUAGAAGACAAACUAGCUCUUCUAUUCAGCUCCAUGUAAUUAGUUAUUUGAUUUGUUGAAGCUAUUGGUUGAUUUAGAUGAUUUGAUUGUAACAGCAAAAUUUUUCAGUGGUGUCGGAAACAGUGAUUCGAGAUCACUAAAUUCGACGAGUAAGUUUAGAAAUUUUAACAAAUAAUAAUUAUAGGCCAAGCGCGAACUUAAAAUAAUUAUUUUUAAUUAGUGAAUUUUGCGAUUUUAAAAGAAUUAAUCAAGUAAAUUUGGUUGAAAACGAGGUAUCGAGACUUCGGAUUUAUAAACCGAGCCAUAAAUAUUUUUAUAAAUAUUUAUGGAGUGUUACUAAGUUAGUAUUAAAGUUUCGUUAGAAAAUUUUAACGUUUGGUUAGUCAAUUAAUUAAAAAGGAAUAAAUUGAAAAUAGUGCAAAAUUUAUUAAAUUGUGAUUAAAUAGUUUAAGUGAUUAAAAAGGAGGGAUUUAAAAAGUAAUUGGACCCAAAUUGUACGGGCUGGACGCUUGGGGCAAGAAAAUCAGCAAAAAAGACAAGGAGAAACAAGGGCAAAAUGGGAAAUUUUACAAAUUAAACAUAUAAAACAAGACAAAUUUGAAAAAUCUAGAGAUCUCAUCAUUUUUCUUCAGCAAAAACGCCAUGGGAGGUCUGAAAGCUGCUGGUUUUUCAUACUUUGACAUAUGCACUAGAUUUGAAGCCAAACUAUGUGCGUGCUUGGGCAAACAUGGGUAUCAGUUACGCCAACCAGGUUUGAGUUUUUGUUGGAUGCAUGGUCCAGGAUUAGCUGAAUUCAUGCAUAGUGACGACUUGUUUGAGCUAAUUGCUGAUCUUAAAGUGUACAUUCUAUCAUUAUUUUGUUCUAUUUGUAUUUUGUUAGAUUUCUGGUGUAGUAUGAUAAGUCCGAUAUUUUGUUUGAUUGUUAUUGAUAAACUUUUUAUUUGGUGGGAUAUAUAUUUAUAUCAUAGAUGUUAUUCUUCUUUUCAA